rnacentral:rRNA from 1 species
UACGUAGGGCGCAAGCGUUGUCCGGAUUGACUGGGCGUAAAGCGCACGCAGGCGGCUGCGCGCGUGGGGUGUGAAAUCUGGCCGCUUAACGGCCAGGCGCCAUCCCAUACGGCGCGGCUUGAGCCUUGCAGAGGGCGGUGGAAUUGCCGGUGUAGUGGUGAAAUGCGUAGAGAUCGGCAGGAACACCCAGGGGGAAACCAGCCGCCUGGGCAAGCGCUGACGCUGAGGUGCGAGAGCGUGGGGAGCGAACCGG